rnacentral:rRNA from 1 species
UACAGAGGUGGCAAGCGUUGUUCGGAAUUACUGGGCGUAAAGGGCGCGUAGGCGGUCUUGUCAGUCCCUUGUGAAAUCCCCCGGCUCAACUGGGGAACUGCACGGGAAACAGCAGGGCUUGAGUUCGGGAGAGGGAAGCGGAAUUCCGGGGUGUAGCGGUGGAAAAUGCGGUAGAUAUCCGGAGGAACACCGGUGGCGAAGGCGG